rnacentral:rRNA from 1 species
GCACAAGCAGUGGAGUAUGUGGUUUAAUUCGAAGCAACGCGAAGAACCUUACCAAGUCUUGACAUCCCUUGACAGACAUAGAAAUAUGUAAUCUCUUCGGAGCAAGGAGACAGGUGGUGCAUGGUUGUCGUCAGCUCGUGUCGUGAGAUGUUGGGUUAAGUCCCGCAACGAGCGCAACCCUUAUGGUCAGUUACUACGCAAGAGGACUCUGGCCAGACUGCCGUUGACAAAA